UUCAGAAGGCUCACCAAGGCUGCUGCAUUGUGUAUAUAUAUGGAGAAUAAACUGCAAUGGGUGGAAAUGAAGAGGCCAGGGCAGUCAUCCCAGGAGACAUACUGGGCAGGAUGGAGGAGAGCUAAGGGUGAUGAAGAAGACGGAGGAUCUGCAGGAGGUUCUCCAGGUGGGUUCUAACUACUGCACUUGGUAUACUGGCUUUGAGCUCAUAUUUCUAGGGGUGGGUGCCACUAGCUUUGUUUGCCACACUGCAUCCAGGCUGCCCUGCGGGGGGUGAGAGGUAAAGGGGUGAACCGGUGUAUCUAAUCCUAGCAGGACCCAGUAGCUUAAGCCCAUUCCUGUGCCCCCCCCCCCCAUGCUUUCAGUGGGGUCUUGUUGGAGAAGCCUGGUCAUUCUGGUGCAUUUCCUCUUGGAGCUGAAACAUGGUUUCUCUGGCCAUUUUGUAAGGAGUUGCCUAGCCACAUGUAUACCUCUUCAGUGCCCAUGUUUGCUGUAUAAAAAAGUAAAUUUGGAAACAUAUUUUAAAAUGGUCAGUUCCUCUGUUACAGUUUGAAUUGAGUCUCUUUAAAAUUUACAAUAUCUCAGAAGAUGAUCUUAUUUGAAAUAAUGUCUUUAUAAUAUAUUGAACUAGUUAAGAUGAGGUCAUAUGGAAGUAGGGUGUGUGCCUCCGGUAUGACUGAUGUCUUUGUAAAAGCAAAAUUUGGAGACAGAUUGUAUUAGUUUUUCAUUGCUCUAUCAAGAUAUCCAAGACAGGCUAAUUUUAUAAGUUUUUUAAUAUUUAUUUUUUAGUUUUAGGUGGACAUAAUAUCUUUAUUUUAUUUUUAUAUGGUGCUGAGGAUCAAACACAGUGCCUCACACAUGCUAGGUGAGCUCUCUACCACUGAGCCACAACCCCAGCCCUAAUUUUAUAAAUUAAAGAGCUUUAUUUAGCUCACAAUUUUGGAAGCUAAAAAUCCAAACAACAUAGUGUUGACUCUGGUGAGGGUUCCAUAGCAGAUAACAGGAGUACAGCAAGAGGAAGGAUCACAUCUCAAAACAGGAAACUAGAGAGAGAUUCAGAUCAGAUUCCAGCUUUCAUAACAACUUGCUCUCAUGAAAGCUCAGGGGUCCCAUGAGAGCAACCUUAAUCCCUUCCAAGAGCAAGGCCCCUAAUGACCUAAGGAGCUCCCACUAGGUCCCUCCCACCUCUGAAAGACCAUCUCCCUCCCACACACCACACUGGGGACCAUAUUUGCAACACAUGAAGCUUUGGGGUGACAACAUCCAACCAUAGCAUAGACACACACAGGGACAACACCACAUGAAGAUCAAGACAGAGAUUGAGGUAGGCCUGCACAAGCCAAGAAGCACCAAAGAUGGCCAGCAAAGCACCCGAAGCAAGGAGAGGGUGAAACAGUCAUCACAAGGAACCCACCCUGCAGGCACCUGAUCUCAGGCCUCCAGGCUCCCCAGACAUGAGAAAUGUGGUGGCUGCACCUGGGCACAGUUUCCAGGAGGCAUCUCCAAAUCCUACCACAGCUACGGCUAGGAAAAGGACUUAUCACCAAGACUCUGUGAUUCCUGGCUUUGUCCUAGUCUCCACAAGGGAAUAUGGUCCGCAGGUAAAUUUGGCUAGUCCCAGAAUAAACAGUCUCUUUUACUAGUUUUCAUUUUGUAGGAUUAUUAUUAAUUUUUUAAACUAACACACAUACAUAUGGUAAACGGAAACAGUAUAAAAGGAGAGUCAAUAUAGGUGAGUCUCUGCUCUUGCCCACUGCCUGGAAGAAGUCAAUCUCAAUCUUCCAGCCAUCCUUCCCUUCCAGCCAUUUCUUGCAUGAAUAAGUUUGUCUGAGUGAGCAAAUGAGACAUGCUUAUGUCUCUCAUUUAUUCUUUCAAUCUGUUGUGUCAUGGGGAAUAGUUCUGCAUUAGGGCAGAGGGGCUACUCAGGACUUUAGAGCCGCCACUCUGAGUGGUCCCAAGGCCAGCUACACAAACAUUUCAGGUAACUUAGUAGAAAUGAACAUCUCAUAGGCCUCUUUACAGAUUAACUGAGUUAGAAACUUGGGUCUGGGGCUCAUGAGCGAGAGAAUGUUCUAACAAACCGCCCACGCUCAGAUUUGGGGUGGAGAUGGUGCUAAGAUUAACUCUAAUUCUCACUCCAUUGUUCUGCAGCAUAAUUUAUUUUGGCUGAUUUAAAAAAGUAACAGGUUUUUAGAGGUUUAAAAUGAAAAUAAUGGAUCUUACAUUAUUCUUUGAAGUGUAACAGUUACACUUGUUGUUAAGUUCCACUUCAAAGGCUGGGUGCAUUUGAACUCUAUUAGAAAGUUAUUUUAGUUACAUAAGCCAAGGAAGGGAGAAAACAAAAAUGAAGAUACAAUCUUAACUCUAAGAAAAAUCACCUCAUUUUUACGAGUUUAUUACAAGACCAGAAGGUCAUGGUUCGUGGUUAAGUGUCUCAAGGUCAUUAAGCAGUUAAAUCUCAUCUGCAAACAAUUUACAGGAAAACAAGUGCAAUCCUCUAAAAUAGUUACAUAAGUGAAAUUUUUAAUAAUAAGCUUUUUUGGUUUCAAUGCUAGGGAUCAGCAGUCCUGAUAGACAGCUAUAAAAACAAACCUCAAUGAUUUCUCUGAUUUAAAGAUGCUGAUUCAUAGUAUGCUGCUAGGGGAUGGGGGAAUCGGGGGAUGGGAGGAUUAAAUGAACUCUAGAUAGGGCAAAGGGGAAAAGGGGAGGGAGUGGAAGGGAAGGGGAAUGGGGUUAAAGAGAUGGUGGAGUGAGAUGGACAUCAUUACCCUAAGUACAUGUAUGAAGACAUGAAUGGUGUGACUCUACUUUGUGUAGAACCAAAGAAAUGAAAAAUUGUGCUCUAUAUGUAUAAUUUGAAUUGUAAUGCAUUUUGUUGUCAUAGAUAACAAAUUAAAAAUUUAAAAAAUUAAACACUCCUAUCUUAAUAAAAACCUCUAUAUGAGGAGAACUUCUUACUCUUUUUAGUAAACUGAUGUUGAAAGAAACUUAAUGCACAAGAUACAAAUAAAUGUAGACUUUUUUUGAUGUUACAGUAAUCAGUUGGUAAAGUUUUUUGUGAGUGUGUCACAGAGAUUGAACGCAGGAGUGAUUUACCACUGAGUUAUAACCCCAGAACUUUUUUAUUACUUUAAUUUUAUUUUUAAAUUUUGAGACAGGAUCUCACAAAGUUGCUGAGGUUGGCCUUGAACUUGUGAUCCUCUUGCCUCAGCCUCCUGAGUCACUGGGAUUACAGGCAUGCACCACCAUGUCCAGCAUUGGUAUAUACUAACUUUUCCUUUUUUUUUUUUAAACAAUGGUUCAUGGGUCAAAUUUUUCAUAAUACGAUUGAAACUUGUGGGCCAUUUUAACUGAGCUUGGAUGGCAUGAUUUGGUGUAUUGUCUUUUACUUUACUGGCAUUUAGACAGCUUCUAGUUUUCUGUCUCACCAAGUCAUUGGUUCUAUGGCAUCUUUCUACCUGUGUCCAAUGAUCAUGGAGGUUAGGUUCCUCAAAGUGGAACUUCUAUGUCAAAGGUUCGGUGGACUUGACAUUUGAUAGAGUAUUAUCCAAUUAUUUUGUAAAGAGGUAGUUGCAAUUUACACAGGAUAUUAAAAUGUGAAUUUACACAUACUUGCUAAUAUCUUUUUUAAAUAUUUAAAGCUUUAAAAUAUUUUUCCAUGUGCAAGGCAAAAGAAGAGUGACUUCUUAUUGUCAUAAAUUCAUUUCUUUGUGGAGUCAUCUGGAUGUCUUUUUUUUAUUUAUGCUUCUUUCUCAAUUUUCUAUUGACUGCAGGUUUUCCAUAUUAAUUUGCAAGCACUCUUUACAUGAACAGCAAAUGAGUUUUUUGACAUCUGUGUUGCAAAUACCUGUAUUUUUUAAGUUGUUUUAUUUUUUCAUUCAAUUAUUUUUCAUGCAGAAAACUUUAAAUUUUUUAAAAUAUUUUUUAUUUAUUUCUUACAUACAUGACAAUAUUGGAAUGCAUUACACUCAUAAUUAGUCAUUCACAGCACAACUUUUCGUAACUCUGUAUAUAAAGUAUGUUCAUGCCAAAUUAUGCCAUUAUACAUGAACUCUCUCUCUCUUUUUUUUUUUUUUGCAUUACAAUUCUUAAUACAUCUUUAUAUCACAAUUUAUCAUAUCUCUGUUUGUAUAUAAGGUAUGUUGACACCAAAUUCACAUGUUCAUACAUGUAUUUUGUAUAAUGAUGACCGUCUCCUUCCACCAUCCUUACUAUUCCCUUUCUUCCUCCCUUUCCCUCCCACCCCUAUUCCCUAUCUAGAGGUAAUCUUCUUCCCAUGCUCUCCCUCCCUACCCCACUUUGAGUCAUUCUCCUCAUUUUAGAGAAAACAUUCAGCGUUUGUUUUUUGGGGGAUUGGCUAACUUCACUUAGCAUAAUCUUCUCUAAUGCCAUCCAUUUCCCUGCAAAUGCCAUGAUCUUAUUCUUUUUAGUGAUGAGUAAUAUUCCAUUGUAUAUAAAUGUCACAUUUUUAUUUUUUAGUUGUUGUUGGACACAUAGCUUUAUUUCAUUCAUUUAUUUUUUGUAUGUGGUGCUGAGGAUGGAACCCAGGGUCUUGCACAUGCAAGGCGAGCUCUCUACCACUGAGCCACAACUCCAGGCCCAGAAAACUUUAAUUUUUAUAUCAUCAAAUUGACCCAUCUUUAUUUUUGUGGCUUCUGGGUUUUAGGUCAUAUUUGUGGGAAAAAAAAAGAAAAAAAACUUUUUCCUUUCCCCAAGUAUAUCAGUCUGUUUUCUGUUUCUAUUAAAACAAUACCAAAGAAUGGAUGAAUUAUAACUAAAAGAGGUUUAUUUUGGCUCUUGGUUCUGGAGGCACAAAGUGGAGGGGCUUCUCUGGUAAUGGCCUUCCUGCUGGCAGAGCAUCACAUGGCAAGGGAUAGAGAAUGUGUGUGUGUGUGUGUGUGUGUGUUUUCUAGUCUGUCUCUCCUCUUAAAAAGGCCCCAGGCUUUAAUCAUGAGAGCUAUACUCUAAUGAUUUAUUUGAUCUUAAUUCCCAAAGGCCCCACCUCUAAACACCAUAGUUGAAUUAAGUUUCCAUCUUCUAAAUUCUUCAUAAUAGGGAUUAGAUUUCAAUAUGUGAAGGCUUGGGUGACACAAACCAUAUUCAAGCCAUAGCACCUAGGUACAGAAAAAUUCAUCCAUGUUUUCUCCUGGAAUUGGGAGGCCAUUGACUUUAGAGUUCAAUUGCCUAUGUUUAAAUCACACUUGCUGUAUGAUCUUGGCUAAGUAACUCAACCUCUCUGGACUCUGAUUCAUCAUUUGUACCUAUCACACAGGGAAAUUGUGAGGUAGUGUCUGAUACAGGGUCAAUGUGCAACUAGUAUUAUUUCUUUUUAUUUUUAGUUGAAUGCUUUUUAUAGCUUUACUUAUUGUUUUAAAUCUUUAUCCACUUAAAUAUUUAUUCAAUUUGCUUCAUGCAAGAAGGCAAGGAUCUAGCAAUUGUUUCUAAAUUAAACAUUAGAAAGGAGGAGCCAACAUUAUUAUUACUUAUAGAUAUCAUCACACUCCAAAGGAAGUAACUGAAAAAAAAAAAAAGAAGAAGAAGAAAUUGACUAUGUGACCUAUUAUAAGAAUUGGCAAAUUUUCUACAUACAAAAUGUAAACAGAAACUAAUGGAAAAAGUGUUUUCCCAUUGCCAUUUUGUUAAUUAAUCUCUUUUCUCGUUUAUUUGAAGUGCCAACUUUAUUAGAUAAUAAAUCCACAUCUGUUUUUGAGCCUGCUUAUUGACUUCAUAUUUUUUCCAUUGGCUUGACACUUUUUUAUGAACCACUGAACUGUUCAAUCAUCUUAGCUUUUUAAAAAAUAUAUAUUUUUUAUUUUUUUAGUUAUAUAUGGACACAAUAUAUUUAUUUUGUUUAUUUUUUUUAAUGUGGUUCUGAGAAUUGAACCCAGUGCCUCACCUGUGCAAGUCAAGUGUCUACCACUGAGCCACAACCCCAGCCCCAAUCAUCUUAGCUUUUAAAUUCAUUUUUAAUAUGAGGCAAAGCUAGUUUUUAGCAGUGUUCUUUUAUUUCAUAAUUUCUUAUCUGUUAUUACAUGAGUAUUUUCCCAUAUGAAUAUAAGGUUUUAGUGAAAUUAUAAAUUACUUGGGGAAGAAUUGAAACCUUUACAUUAUUUUUUUCUAAUCCGAGAAUUAGACAUUUCCCUGAUUCCAAUCUCUUUUUUAAAUCUCUCAGAAGAAGCUUUAAUUUUUUUUUCUUUAUUAAACAUCGACACAUUUCAUAUUAGUUUUUCGUGGCUGCUAUCUCCUAGUUCUUUUAGUUGUUGUUUUGUUUUAUUGUUUCCAUGAGUUUUCUGCCAAUUUUUUGUAUGUAGAAAAUUGAUCAAUUAUUGCAAUUCAGGUGCUUAAUUUUAAUUCAUUCUUUUAAAUUUUGGCAAUUUUUCAGUUGGUUCCUUUGGAAUAAAAUGAUAUCUAAAAAAUAAUAAUAAUAUUGCUAAUUCUACAAUUCUAAUUCUGCAUGUUGUUUCAACUGUAAAAUUUGGGGUUGGGUUGUUUUAAUUAAGUGAAUUAUUUCUCUGCAAAUGCUACAUGGAUAAAAUUAUGUGCAUGUUCAAUGAAACUUACAUUUUUUCUAGUUUCUUCAUUUUUUAAGUAUAAAUAUUACAUUUACAGGUAUUAUGUGUGAAUUAUUCUUUGUUAAUAAGACUUAACUUUUAAAAACCUUUUGUGUUCUUUCCUUACAAAAUUUGAAGUUUUUUAAAAUAUUUAUUUUUUAGUUGUAGUUGAAUGCAAUAUCCUUAAUUAAUUAAUUUAUUUUUAUGUGGUGCUGAGGAUCGAACCCAGGGCCUCCGUGUUAGGCGAGCACUCUACUGCUGAGUCACAGCCCCAGCCCCCAAAAUUUGAAUUAUAAGAGCAGAGAAAAGUGAAUUAGUUUUAUUGGGCUAUAUUUUUGAGCUUGUGUGUUUACAUAGACUGCAUUUAUUUAUGUCUUUCACAUACAUGGGAUAAUGUCAGGAAAUUGUUUUCACUAUUUUUAUCGAUAGGUUAACAAAAGCUAAAUGUAAUUAAAUGACUUGUCUAAAAUAAACAAUAAUGACAAUAAAAAAUAAUAAUGUUGCUUCCUCCUUUCCAGCGUGUAAGCCUUAUCUUUUCAUUUUGUCCAUUUGUUAUUUUCCAAAACCCUCCAGGACAAUGACAGCAUGUGGGGGUGCUGCAGGUGUUCCAGAUAGGCUUCUUGACUAUGCCUCUGGGGCUUGCCAUUUACCCUGGUGCUGGAUUUGCUAGAGCAAUUAUUUUAAAUUGUGAGCAUUCACUAGUGGAGUCCUUGGCAUCUGUCAUUCUUUGCUCUUGCCAAUAGCCCCAAAAAUCUUGCUUUGGAAAUGACCAUCCAUGUCUUCCUCUCAGCCCUGCACUUUUGUUAAGAGGGGCCCUGCCUGCACCUGUAUAGCAUGUCUUCCCUAGAUUUCUGAGUGUUCCUGUAAAGAGCUCUGCCCACCCCACCCCCCACCCAGAGGCACAGGAAUGUAUACAAACUUACAGAGAGCCUUUGUCUUCAUAUCUAGCAAUGUUUUACUUUUCGUGUACUUGUAAAGACUCAGGUUGUAGUCAUUUGUCUAGUUGGUUGCUCUGAGCCCAAGAGAUAAUAAAUCUUUUUCCCCAAGACUAGCACACGGUCACCUUCCAGACUAUUCCCCUAGUUUAAUUCCACGGUUGCCCCAAAGAUGGGAACACUCUCUCCACAGGCAUUUACCCUUCAAGGAAGAUGGGGCAGGGACCUUGGAGGCACCUCUAGUUUGUAAGGACCCACGAAAUGUGACCUGGUUCCUGCAGGAGUUUUAUCUACUUACCAAAAGGUUAGAGUCCUUUCCAUUCCAUCUCUAAUAACAAAGGCCUUUUCUCCCUCAUUUCAGAAAGGGAAAGGACAGCUACCUCUGUCCUGCAUAUAAGGAAGAGAAGAUCCAUUAUUCACUGUACUUGGCCCACAGAGUCUCGGCCACAUCGAAGGAUUUUCCAUUAGGCUUUCCUGGUGUGGCUCUAGGAUUAAAUAUCUGGGCAGAAGAGGGAGACAUAGUUGUUAUUUUGUGGAUGAUAAUAACUAAUCUGUCUCUGAUCCAAAAUACCCCCUAUGCUCAUUCAGGAUUAAAUUAAUCAAAAUAUAUAUUAAAAACCUCAUAGUACUUAAUUAGCAAAAACAUUACUAAUGACUCAUCUAAAAUGUGCACAGCCUUCUCAGGAGAUUCACUAUGAAGAUGCAGUAGAAAUUACCACCCUUAUCUUUCCAGACGUGCUAGUGGUAUUAAUCUUGGUAAUUCCCCAGAGAUGAAGUAUUGCUUCUGAUGUUCCACCUCGGCAGAGGGGUCAGUUACAGGAGAGUACUUUUGGCCCUUCAGCCAAAACAGCCCCUACUCCACAGAUCAGGGAAUCAAUGUGAACAUUCUAUUGAUUGCCAAAUAGAUCUAUUCCACCUGCUCAUCUUGAGAUGGAGGAAAUGACCACAGUUGGUGUCCCUGUUGGACCCAGUUUGAGAGAGAUCGGGGCAAGGACACUGUCCAUCACAGGCUUCUUGGGGCUUCCCUUCUGCCAGGCAGGCUGUGGUAGCAUUUCCCAUCCUUAGGAAUUUAGGUCAGUUAAGAGCAGGUAUAUAAUACUCCCAGGGUGGGGGUUGCAUCUUUCCCAUUCUCACAUCAUAGUUACACAGGUAAAUAGCCACAGUUUGCUCUGGAAAAGCUUGGAGAAAAUUCUUGAUACACUAUGGCUGCUUUGCAAAGUCUUUGUUUUAGGGCUCCUGGUCUGUGAUAGUGGUCAUGAAUCUCCCUAGGAUGAUUUGAUUUAGGUUUCUGCCCCAGAAUUUAUAUAUAUAUAUAUUUCUGCCUAGCUAUGUCAAGCAGCAUCUUAUCCUGAUCCAUUAGUUAUAACCACAAAUUGCUGCAGUUCCAUCAGUCCUUGUGUUUAUUGUCAAAAUUAUGGCCAUCUUGUCUAUAUUAGACAAGUAUACCACAGGUCCCACCACACCAGAACUGUGUUACUUUUCUUGAGACCAGGGAUGCUAAUUUCAUCACAGAGUUUUUCAAAGUGCUCUGUGCAGUUGAUCCAUUCCUGAUAUGUGUUUCAAAGCUUCUAUACAUGGUGGUUACACUGGGAUCACUGGGGGGGCGUGGCUGGGUGUGGGAAUCCAGUAGCUUUCAAUGAACAGAUGCAUUCCACUGUUCCUUUACUAUUUCCUCAAGCCUUUGCAGGAGCAGCAGGGUUUGGGGUGGGUGCUGGUGACUCACCCUGAAUAUAGGCUGCUGUGACAGGUGGAAUAGCUACUCAUGGAAUGAAGGUUGCUAACAGCUGACCCUAAGAUAAGGGGAUUGCACUGGGUCAGCUCGGAGGUGCUAAGAAAUCACAAGGCUCUUUACACAGAAAAAAAGAGAGAUAGAAGAGUCACAGCCCAGAAUGGGAGAGUUAUCAUCAAAAAGACUACAGGUGGAGCUGGGAAUGUGGCUCAAGCAGUAACGCGCUCGCCUGGCAUGCGUGGGGCACUGGGUUUGAUUCUCAGCAACACAUAAAAAUAAAAUAAAGAUGUUGUGUCCACCGAGAACUGAAAAAUAAAUAUUAAAAAAUUCUCUCUCUCUCUCUCUCUCUAAAAAAAAAAAAAAAAAGACUACAGGUGGAAGAAGGUCCUCAAGUCAAGAAAUGUGCACAGGGACAGCUUCCAGACACUGGAAGAGGCAAGAAAACAGAUAUAUUUCUAAGAUCUCCAGAGAGGAAUGCAGUCCUGCUCUCCCUUGAUUUGAUCUUAGCAAGAUUCACUUUUGGACUUCUGACCAGAACUAUGAACUAAUAAGCUCAUAUUGCUUUAAGCCUCUUAGUUUGUGGUAAUUUGUCAGAGCAAUAGGGAACUAAUACAUCUAUUGUUGACUCAGGUUUCAAAUUUAUGUCACUUGCAGGUUUGGGAGCAUAUAUAUCAGAGGAGUUUACCCUUGAAAAUGAAGUUAGCUGCACAGGACCUUUUAGUCCGUGGGAUGCUGACAAGUGUUUAAUGAUCAGCUCUCCAGGAAAAAAAAGCUCUGAUUUAUACCGAUUGCUUGCUGACUUCCAAUUUGCACAUACUCUCACCUUGGCUCUCUUCAAGCCAAAAACAUAUAUCUGAACUUGGUGUUGAGAAGCAACACAUAGUAGCCCAUCCUCAUGGAGUAUCUCCUGGGUACAGAGGUAGUUGACCUCCAAAGCAGAUAAUAGUAAAACACAGAGAAGACAACUAACAGUGAGUUUGGAGUAUUUAUUACCUGUAUUUUUUAAAAUAUUUUUUUAGGAAGAUG
rnacentral:lncRNA from 1 species